rnacentral:tRNA from 1 species
ACCGUAGUAGCUCAAUUGGCUAGAGCAAGGAAAGUACGUACCAAGGUGUUUCUAGUGCAUCUUGUUCCUUUAUGGUGGUUCAAAUCCAUCCUACGGUUCA